UUUUUAUUUUUUUUUUUUUUCUUAGAACAUCAAACUUGCUAUAAACAAAGCAUGUCCUUAAAUAUAAGUGGUUUUGGUUUCAUGAGAAAGUUUAUUGAAAAGACUUUAUUAAACAACAUAACAGAAAAAAGUAAAGUCGGUAUAAACAUAAUGAAUGAUACUAUUAAAAGAGUACUAAAUGAAAAUAUGCAAAUGAGUAACAACAAUAUAUUUAAUGAUGUAAUGGAAAAGACUGAAAAGUAAAAAAAUGAAAUAAAAAAAAAAUGAAAUAAAAAAAAAUGAAAUAAAAAAAAAAUGAAAUAAAAAAAGAGUUAUUAUAAAUAAGAAACCAAGCGGAAUGUGAAUGUUCAUUUUAAUAUAUUUUUUAUAAAAAGAAAAAAGAAAAAAAAAAAAAAAAAAAAA